UACAGAGACUGCAAGCGUUAUUCGGAUUCACUGGGCGUAAAGGGUGCGCAGGCGGCCAAGUGUGUGAGGUGUGAAAGCCCGGGGCUUAACCCCGGAAUUGCACCUCAAACUACAUGGCUAGAGCAUUGGAGAGGGUAGCAGAAUUCACGGUGUAGCAGUGAAAUGCGUAGAUAUCGUGAGGAAUACCAGAGGCGAAGGCGGCUACCUGGACAAUUGCUGACGCUCAGGCACGAAAGCGUGGGGAGCAAAAGGG
rnacentral:rRNA from 1 species